AAGAUUACGAUGAAAAGGUAUCGAACGGAGAAUUUCAAGUGAACCUUGAUCUAAAUAAUGAGUUUUAAACAAAAUCCUACACACAAAGCCUUACAAACACACCAUGAUAAAACACUACAAUCGAAAGGUCCGAAACUAACAUCUUAAAAGAGGAGAUUUAAUCUUAUGGAAGGAUAGAGUCAACAAUCCCAUUCGCUCUAGAAUAAAACUUACUCUUAAAUGGGAAGGAUCCUACCAAAUAUCCUUUAAACUUAGAAUGUCAUACAUCUAUCAAAAUAUUACCCCCCUUAAUAAGAGUUCAAAUUUGGAAAGACAUUAUCCAAUGUACACAAUACAAAAACCUUAAAUUUUUAUUUAAUAAAAAUAUUUACAUAAGUCCUUUGAUC
rnacentral:lncRNA from 1 species